AUGAAGCAAACAGCGAAGCGUGCGUUAGGCUAGCUGCGCACUUUAGGUUAAAAGUGAGGACAAACAGAAACAUAUAAAGGACAAACAUUAUGUGUUGCUGGGCUGCCUACUGGGAACCUAUCUUGAACAUCGAAACACACACCACAUACCUUGAACGUACAUUCCCCCAUACUACCAGAGGAGGAUUCUGAGGAGUGGCCCGACACUCCUGCACUACCAUCAACGCCUGCUCCAUCAUUAUCCGUGGUGACAUCGGGCUCAUCCACUCCAACCAGUUAGCUGACCCAUUCACCGGGACCGGCGGACCCUGCUCAUCCCGGUCUCCCCGGUGCCUGUUUUGCUAGCGCAGCAAUUGCUAUGCAACGGACACGUCAUCUAUGCGCCGCUCACGUGACGUACCCGGAAGUCUCGGGCACAGACGCCGGGAACACCUGCUCCUGCACGCUUCUU